AUUGAACGCUGGCGGCAGGCCUAACACAUGCAAGUCGAGCGGAUGAAGGGAGCUUGCUCCUGGAUUCAGCGGCGGACGGGUGAGUAAUGCCUAGGAAUCUGCCUGGUAGUGGGGGAUAACGUCCGGAAACGGGCGCUAAUACCGCAUACGUCCUGAGGGAGAAAGUGGGGGAUCUUCGGACCUCACGCUAUCAGAUGAGCCUAGGUCGGAUUAGCUAGUUGGUGGGGUAAAGGCCUACCAAGGCGACGAUCCGUAACUGGUCUGAGAGGAUGAUCAGUCACACGGGAACUGAGACACGGUCCAGACUCCUACGGGAGGCAGCAGUGGGGAAUAUUGGACGAUGGGCGAAAGCCUGAUCCAGCCAUGCCGCGUGUGUGAAGAAGGUCUUCGGAUUUUAAAGCACUUUAAGUUGGGAGGAAGGGCAGUAAGUUAAUACCUUGCUGUUUUGACGUUACCAACAGAAUAAGCACCGGCUAACUUCGUG
rnacentral:rRNA from 1 species